rnacentral:rRNA from 1 species
AAUGAACGCUGGCGGCAGGCCUAACACAUGCAAGUCGAGCGAGCAUUUCGGUGCUAGCGGCGGACGGGUGAGUAACGCGUGGGAACGUGCCCUUUUCUGCGGAAUAGUCCUGGGAAACAGGGGGUAAUACCGCAUACGCCCCCUUGGGGAAAGAUUUAUCGGAGAAGGAUCGGCCUGCGUUGGAUUAGGAAGUGGGUGGGGUAAGGGCGUACAACGGGGACGAUCGGUAGCGGGCCUGAGAGGAUGAUCAGCCACACUGGAAGUGAGACACGGUCCAGAAUCCUACGGGAGGCAGCAGUGGGGAAUAUUGGACAAUGGGCGAAAGCCGGAUCCAGCCAUGCGGCGUGGGUGAAGAAGGUCUUCGGAUUGUAAAGAACUUUAAGUGGGGAGGAAGGGCAGUAAGGUAAUACCUUGCUGUUUUGACGUUACCAACAGAAUAAGCAACGGCUAACUUCGUG